rnacentral:lncRNA from 1 species
AGAGGUCAAUAAUAAAAGCAAUAAAAGCUCAAUUUGAAGAGUGAAACUCAAAGGAGAUUAGAGAUGACAAACACAAAGAUUAUCCAUAAAAUCAAGACAAGCAAGAAAUUAAAAGUUUUCAAGAAAGUAGGCACUAAAAAGAAAUACCUAAAGAUUGGCACUAGAAUGGAUUAUAAAAUUAAAACAAAGAAUGAUGAAAAUUCUUAGUAGACCAUGAAAUCCAAAAUGUUGCUGCCCAAUGUAGCUUGGUCCAAAGAACUCAAUUCUCGCGGGUCCGCGCAAAGGAACUCCAAUUGCCAAAUUUCUCACCAAAAUUUACACUUCCUCAUUAUUCAACAAAUUGCAUUUAACUUUAAAGCAUGGGUCCCACCGUGUGAUUGCAAAUUCCAGUAGCUGCCAAUACACACUUCUAAUUACUCAACACAUAACUAUUUUUUGUUAGUUAAAAGCACCCACAAUCACGCUUUCACCAAUUCAACAAUUUCCAAUUUGCUUUCACUAAUUCUACUUUAAUUUCUUCAAUUAAUUGCACACCUUGCUAGUACUUGAUUCACGCUGCACCUUCGACACACCAUUUCUCAUCAAAUUCUUCAAAUUUACGGACCCCACCAUUCACUCUUCAAUUCACAGAAACUGAAUGCCACUGGACUUCGCUACAGCUCACACAAUUCUAAUUCAUGCUUAUUGAACAAACACCUUGGCUGCAAUGAAUCAAUUCAUACGAAACAUUACAGUUCCUUUUUGGUUCGUGCUCGCUGAAUCUCAAAUUCUCCAGCAAAUCGCUUCAAAUCGAUCGUCUUCUCCGUUAACCGGUUUCGCCGGAAAAUUGAAACUCCUCUGUUACUGAUUCUUCCAGCAACGCACCAAAUCUCAAGCAAAUUCUGAUUUCGGCGGUUCAAAUCUCCUUACCGCAAGAUCUCAUUCAGUGUUCUCCAAUCACUUGAUUUAAAAAUCGUUCCAGAGAAUGAAGAAUGUAGAUGAAAACGCACCGGAAACUCACAGUUUCAACAAUUUAGGUCGCCGGAAAACACAACUCCUCGCUGAUUUAGGUCACUGGAAACCGCAAAAACCUCUGUCCACUGAUUAUGUUCGCCGGAAGCCGCAAAACCUCCUUACACCAAUUUCGUUUGCCAAAAACCGCAAAACACCUCCGUUCGUGAUUCCUCCAACACCACACCGCUUCAAUUAGAUUUCACACCGAACAAAUUCUUCGUCAAACUUAUGUUUCUCACCUUCGCACCAAACUCAGCUCACACGUUUUCAAAAUCACAUCAAGAAUGAAGAACAAGAUGAACGGAUUGAAAACGCAUAUGAACGUGAACGUGAACGUGCAACAGAUUUUCGUGAAAUUUUGACAAUACAAACGGAUUCAGAACUGCUAUUCGCACCACAGAUCCAAUGAGAUCUCACAAACAAAUCCAAAUUACUCUUCACACCUGGAAAUUUCUUUUAGAACCACGAACAAUUUUCGGAAAAUUUUUCGAGAAUUUUCGAAAAUGAAUUUUGAGAGAAUAAUAAUGGAAACCUAACUCAAAGAAAAUUGCUAAUGAUCUAGUAGCAAUUUAUGAACUCAAAGUUGAAAAUCAAAAGCACUCAAGAGCUCUAAUCUAUGAAGAAAUUUGAAAAAAAAGUUCAAAAAGUUCAACUAAUGGAGUUUAUGACAAAUUUUGACUAAACAUGACUCUAGACAAAACAUAUAUGAUUAUAAAAUCAAAAUGACUCAAUUAUAUGAAAAUUUCACCGAACAAAUUUGAAGAAAACUCAAAAAAUUCAAAAGCACACAUGAACAUGAAUACAAGAACACCUAAAAGCAUAUACAUGAAGGUUCAAGUAAGAAAAAUUAAUUUGAACCGAACAAAAAGACAAAAAAAACACAAAAUCAAUCGGUAAACAAUCAAGACAAUCAAGAACAUUAUGAACAACACAGAAUUUAGAAAAAAAUAGAAGAAGAUCUUACAACCAUAGCUCUGAAUACCAAAUGAUGGAAAAACGUUCUUCUUCUAUUAGUAAUCUUUGUAAUUUC